AUUGAACGCUGGCGGCAUGCUUUACACAUGCAAGUCGAACGGUAACAGGUUAAGCUGACGAGUGGCGAACGGGUGAGUAAUGCAUCGGAACGUGCCUGUUCGUGGGGGAUAACGCAGCGACAGCUGCGCUAAUACCGCAUACGAUCGGAGGAUGAGAGCGGGGGACCGUAAGGCCUAGCGCGAUCGGAGCGGCCGAUGUCAGAUUAGGUCGUUGGUGGGGUAAAAGCCCACCAAGCCGACGAUCUGUAGCUGGGCUGAGAAGACAACCAGCGACACUGGGACUGAGACACGGCCCAGACUCCUACGGGAGGCAGCAGUGGGGAAUUUUGGACAAUGGGCGCAAGCCUGAUCCAGCAAUGCCGCGUGCAGGAUGAAGGCCUUCGGGUUGUAAACUGCUUUUGUACGGAGCGAAAAGGUCUCUUCUAAUACAGGAGGCCCAUGACGGUACCGUAAGAAUAAGCACCGGCUAACUACGUGCCAGCCGCCGCCGUAA
rnacentral:rRNA from 1 species